rnacentral:rRNA from 1 species
CCUACGGGAGGCUGCAGUAGGGAAUAUUGCUCAAUGGGGGAAACCCUGAAGCAGCAACGCCGCGUGGAGGAUGAAGGUGUUAGGAUUGUAAACUCCUGUUGUUAGAGAAGAGGAUGACGGUAUCUAACGAAUAAGCACCGGCGAACUCCGUGCCAGCAGCCGCGGUAAUACGGAGGGGGCAAGCGUUACUCGGAAUCACUGGGCGUAAAGAGUGCGUAGGCGGGGUAAUAAGUCAGAUGUGAAAUCCUGUAGCUUAACUACAGAACUGCAUUUGAAACUGUUACUCUGGAGUGUGGGAGAGGUAGGUGGAAUUCUUGGUGUAGGGGUUCAAUCCGUAGCGAUCCCGAGGAAUACUCAUUGCGACGGCGCCCUGCUGGAACAUUACUGCCGCUGCUGCACGAACGCGUGGGGAGCAAACAGGAUUAGCUACCCUAGUAGUC